GCGCUGCAUUAGCUAGUUGGUAAGGUAACGGCUUACCAAGGCAACGAUGCAUAGCCGACCUGAGAGGGUGAUCGGCCACACUGGAACUGAGACACGGUCCAGACUCCUACGGGAGGCAGCAGUAGGGAAUCUUCCGCAAUGGGCGAAAGCCUGACGGAGCAACGCCGCGUGAGUGAUGAAGGUCUUCGGAUCGUAAAACUCUGUUAUUAGGGAAGAACAUAUGUGUAAGUAACUGUGCACAUCUUGACGGUACCUAAUCAGAAAGCCACGGCUAACUACGUGCCAGCAGCCGCGGUAAUACGUAGGUGGCAAGCGUUAUCCGGAAUUAUUGGGCGUAA
rnacentral:rRNA from 1 species